rnacentral:rRNA from 1 species
GAUGAACGCUGGCGGCGUGCCUAAUACAUGCAAGUCGAGCGAAUGGAUUAAGAGCUUGCUCUUAUGAAGUUAGCGGCGGACGGGUGAGUAACACGUGGGUAACCUGCCCAUAAGACUGGGAUAACUCCGGGAAACCGGGGCUAAUACCGGAUAAUAUUUUGAACUGCAUGGUUCAAAAUUGAAAGGCGGCUUCGGCUGUCACUUAUGGAUGGACCCGCGUCGCAUUAGCUAGUUGGUGAGGUAACGGCUCACCAAGGCAACGAUGCGUAGCCGACCUGGGAGGGUGAUCGGCCACACUGGGACUGAGACACGGCCCAGACUCCUACGGGAGGCAGCAGUAGGGAAUCUUCCGAAAUGGACGAAAGUCUGACGGAGCAACGCCGCGUGAGUGAUGAAGGCUUUCGGGUCGUAAAACUCUGUUGUUAGGGAAGAACAAGUGCUAGUUGAAUAAGCUGGCACCUUGACGGUACCUAACCAGAAAGCCACGGCUAACUACGUGCCAGCCGCCGCUGUAA